UCAAGAUUUCCUUAAGAUCUCAAAAUCUUCCAAAGAUUAGCAAGAUCAAUUCAUAUCUCACCAAAUAUUUUCUCUCUCCCUCACUCACCAUUUUCGGCCCUCUCUCCCUCUCCUUCAUCUCUCAUUUCCUCCAUUUUCCUCCAUUGAAGAAAACCUUCGGAGCUCCCAAAAAUAUUACCAAACACCUCAAUCCACUCUAAAAUAUUCCAUAAACACAUUCUAGCCACUUAUAAUCAAGAGAAUCCUUGAAGAAGAGCCUCAAAGUUAGAGUGAGAAAGUGUGAACUUUGGUAAGAAACUUGGGCCCGAGCGAGACGAAGAAGUAAGUUGCCUGAUUUCUUUCCAGGAUUAGCGAAGGACUUCAGGCUAAGCGGGGAGCGAGAUUGGUCUGGUGCUGGUGGGGAACCGUUUCAAUCGAUGUGAUCAUAUUUAAUAUUGCCCUUAUGAUUAAUACAGUCUUGAUGAUUAAAAUACUUCGUUUCCUUUCGAAUCAAGUAAUAUACUCACGGUUAUGUGUCUUCAUACAUAUAAUCGGUUCGCCUUUUGCUGCGAUACUCUGCAUAUUAUGCUUCCUUACGAAAAAUGAGCGAUACCCGUUUUGUUUUUGUUCGUGAAAUUCCUGAUAAAUAAAAAGUUAUAACGACGUU